AGCGAACGCUGGCGGCAGGCCUAACACAUGCAAGUCGAACGAACCUUUCGGGGUUAGUGGCGGACGGGUGAGUAACACGUGGGAACGUGCCUUUAGGUUCGGAAUAACUCAGGGAAACUUGUGCUAAUACCGAAUGUGCCCUUCGGGGGAAAGAUUUAUCGCCUUUAGAGCGGCCCGCGUCUGAUUAGCUAGUUGGUUGAGGUAAUGGCUCACCAAGGCGACGAUCAGUAGCUGGUCUGAGAGGAUGAUCAGCCACAUUGGGACUGAGACACGGCCCAAACUCCUACGGGAGGCAGCAGUGGGGAAUCUUGCGCAAUGGGCGAAAGCCUGACGAAGCCAUGCCGCGUGAAUGAUGAAGGUCUUAGGAUUGUAAAAUUCUUUAACCGGGGACGAUAAUGACGGUACCCGGAGAAGAAGCCCCGGCUAACUUCGUG
rnacentral:rRNA from 1 species